UGUGAUUUAUUUGGAGCAGAUCUCUGC
rnacentral:piRNA from 1 species